GAUGAACGCUGGCGGCGUGCCUAAUACAUGCAAGUCGAGCGAACGGACGAGAAGCUUGCUUCUCUGAUGUUAGCGGCGGACGGGUGAGUAACACGUGGAUAACCUACCUAUAAGACUGGGAUAACUUCGGGAAACCGGAGCUAAUACCGGAUAAUAUUUUGAACCGCAUGGUUCAAAAGUGAAAGACGGUCUUGCUGUCACUUAUAGAUGGAUCCGCGCUGCAUUAGCUAGUUGGUAAGGUAACGGCUUACCAAGGCAACGAUGCAUAGCCGACCUGAGAGGGUGAUCGGCCACACUGGAACGGAGACACGGUCCAGACUCCUACGGGAGGCAGCAGUAGGGAAUCUUCCGCAAUGGGCGAAAGCCUGACGGAGCAACGCGGCGUGAGUGAUGAAGGUCUUCGGAUCGUAAAACUCUGUUAUUAGGGAAGAACAUAUGUGUAAGUAACUGUGCACAUCUUGACGGUACCUAAUCAGAAAGCCACGGCUAACUACGUG
rnacentral:rRNA from 1 species